CAUUGUCAGUCGAGUUUAAUUCCGAUAUGUUUAAACUUUUGGGAAAUAGAUCGUAAAUCUUCCAGAAAUCUAUCCCCAAAUACAAAUCUUGCUUAAGCGACGGUACAAUGUAAAUUUUCAGUAGCUUCUUUACCUCGGCGUAUUCGACCUCAGCAUUAAAAUACCCUAUUAUUUGCUGUGAUCUGCCAUCUGCUGUUUUAGCAUGACUGUUUAUGGCUUUAUAAACCCCUUGGACUACUACCUCGCGAGCUAAGUUACCUCCUAGACAACUUAUUGAUGCGCCAGAGUCUAAAAGGCCGUAGACCGUACGAUCCAGAACGCGAAUUGGCAAAAACGGGCGAGGAUUUUUUGACCCAGCAGAAUGCUUUUAUUCUACUAGAACUUCGAGAUUUACGCUUUUCUAAGUCUUGGUGACCUUCACAUUCAGGUAUUAUUAUGUUCUUCAGUAUUUGGAUUUUGCUAUGUAGCAAAGGACUAGCAGGUAAUAGUUGUUCGUCAGGGAUUGAAAGUUGUGCAACGUCAGCUGCAUAUUCUACUCUUCUGUCAUUGUGGCUUGGCUCCGGAAGGCACUCGAAGUCUUCUGUUUGAAUUGCGACUUCGGCGUGCCGGCUUUGGAGUUUUUUGAACACUUACUGCAACUUGGCUUGUAAGUAUUGGCAGCUCCACAACCGUAACAGAAAACUCUCCUUUCAGAUACGCAAUCCUGAUAUCUGUGCCCUUCCUUACGGCAGUUCCAACAUAAUAAGGAAAACGCUUCGACAUCAUCCUCACAUUCAGGUUCUGAUUCUAAUUGAGUUUCAUAUUCCUGACUGAAUUCGGACACUUCCCGUUUAAAAGGAGUGCUUCGCAUGUAUCCACUGCAACGCUUGACGUCAGCAAGAAAGGCUUCGCGCCUGCGACAAAUCUCCCUUAAAUCGGACACUGUAUUUAUUUCAAUAUUUAGAAUUUCAUGUCUUAUUUCUGGACGCAAAUUAUUUCUAAGAACUCGAAUUAAUUUACUCGAAGUCCAAGGAUGCUCCAGCUGAUCGACUAAGCCAGAUAUUGUAUCGUAAAAACAAUCAAAAGACUCGUUUGGCUUUUGUUUUGUGUUACGAAUCAAUUCUUCGAUGUCGCCAUCAUCUCUUCUUUGGCGAAACUGGAGACGCAAGGCUGAACAAAAAGUGUCCCAAUCAAUCUCGCCGUUCGCUUUAUGAUAGCGCCAAUAAAAUUCAUUGGCAAAGCAGACUGAAAUUAUUGCCUAAUGUUUCUCGAGUAAGCGUAUCCACUCUAUAAAUAAAAUUAUCUACCGA